CUGCGGAGGACAUUAUUGGUAAGGGAGGUGCUGAGGUUGACGCUGACUUUUGCUUGACCCCGCCCGCGUUUCACUCUAUCGUAGCUCCAUCUCGCCCCGUUGUCCAUUGCCGCCUGGGGACCCCUUUUGCCUCCAUAUGAGGGGGGCUUAACGUUUUUACUGACUCACAUCAUUUUAAUGCUUUAAAUAUUAAGUCUUACUUUUUUUGGUCCCGGCAUAGUAAAACAACUUUCCACAACGGAUCAAUUGGCUCUAAUUUCAAAAUUCAACGAAUCGAAAAAUCUUUCAAAAUGUGAAUUGCCCAAUUCAAUGAAUCAUGGAAUCUUUGAACGAGCCUUGUUCCCUUUGGUAUUCCUAAGGGGACACCGGGUCGAGUGUCCUGGCGUUCUCAAAAACUUCUGGGGUUCUCGACCGGGACUGAUUUGAACACUGGAGGUUCUUGCUGGCCUUGCCUUAUGGAACCCCGCUCCCCCAAAAUGCAUUAGGGGGAUCUGCUUUCCCGAUCCUUGACGUGAUAAAAUAAUUCUACUACUUGGGCCCUAGGAAUGUUUGCUCUGGAUCCUGCUUCUAACCGUCUCAUAGAGGACAAUGGCCACUUGGCCUACAAACCUUGACCUCAAAUCGGGUGAGACUACCCGCUGAACUUAAGCAUAUCAAU
rnacentral:sRNA from 1 species